rnacentral:rRNA from 1 species
UACGAAGGGUGCAAGCGUUAAUCGGAAUUACUGGGCGUAAAGGGUGUGUAGGCGGUUCGUUAAGUCUGUCGUGAAAUCCCCGGGCUCAACCUGGGAAUGGCGAUGGAUACUGGCGAGCUAGAGUGUGUCAGAGGAUGGUGGAAUUCCCGGUGUAGCGGUGAAAUGCGUAGAGAUCGGGAGGAACAUCAGUGGCGAAGGCGGCCAUCUGGGACAACACUGACGCUGAAGCACGAAAGCGUGGGGAGCAAACAGG